GGCCGGAUGGCGGAAUUGGCAGACGCACAGGACUUAAAAUCCUGUGGCCCUUACGGGCCGUGCGGGUUCGACCCCCGCUCCGGCU
rnacentral:tRNA from 1 species